AUUGAACGCUGGCGGCAGGCCUAACACAUGCAAGUCGAACGGUAACAGGAAACAGCUUGCUGUUUCGCUGACGAGUGGCGGACGGGUGAGUAAUGUCUGGGAAACUGCCUGAUGGAGGGGGAUAACUACUGGAAACGGUAGCUAAUACCGCAUAACGUCGCAAGACCAAAGAGGGGGACCUUCGGGCCUCUUGCCAUCAGAUGUGCCCAGAUGGGAUUAGCUAGUAGGUGGGGUAACGGCUCACCUAGGCGACGAUCCCUAGCUGGUCUGAGAGGAUGACCAGCCACACUGGAACUGAGACACGGUCCAGACUCCUACGGGAGGCAGCAGUGGGGAAUAUUGCACAAUGGGCGCAAGCCUGAUGCAGACAUGCCGCGUGUAUGAAGAAGGCCUUCGGGUUGUAAAGUACUUUCAGCGGGGAGGAAGGGAGUAAAGUUAAUACCUUUGCUCAUUGACGUUACCCGCAGAAGAAGCACCGGCUAACUCCGUG
rnacentral:rRNA from 1 species